AUACGUAGGGGGCGAGCGUUGUCCGGAAUGAUUGGGCGUAAAGGGCGCGUAGGCGGCCCGGUAAGUCUGGAGUGAAAGUCCUGCUUUCAAGGUGGGAAUUGCUUUGGAUACUGCCGCGCUUGAGUGCAGGAGAGGUUAUCGGAAUUCCCGGUGUAGCGGUGAAAUGCGUAGAGAUCGGGAGGAACACCAGUGGCGAAGGCGGGUAACUGGACUGCAACUGACGCUGAGGCGCGAAAGUGUGGGGAGCAAACAGGAUUAGAUACCCUGGUAGUCCACACUGUAAACGAUGAAUGCUAGGUGUAAGAGGUAUCGACCCCUUUUGUGCCGGAGUCAACACAAUAAGCAUUCCGCCUGGGGAGUACGGCCGCAAGGUUGAAACUCAAAGGAAUUGACGGGG
rnacentral:rRNA from 1 species